CAGCCGCCACGGUAAUACGUAGGGUGCAAGCGUUAAUCGGAGUUACUGGGCGUAAAGCGUGCGCAGGCGGUUUGUUAAGACAGAUGUGAAAUCCCCGGGCUCAACCUGGGAACUGCAUUUGUGACUGGCAAGCUAGAGUGUGGCAGAGGGGGGUGGAAUUCCGCGUGUAGCAGUGAAAUGCGUAGAUAUGCGGAGGAACACCGAUGGCGAAGGCAGCCCCCUGGGCCAACACUGACGCUCAUGCACGAAAGCGUGGGGAGCAAACAGGAUUAGAUACCCGCGUAGUCCCUGUCUCUUAUAA
rnacentral:rRNA from 1 species